CGCCAGUCAGUCAUUGAACCAUUUAUGAACGAACGACAGCUAGAAUCUCAGAGGCCCCGCCUAUAAAAUCUGUUAUUUUAUUUCAGUUAGUUUUACCGCGAUGAUAUUAUUAUAAAGCAGGAAUUUAGAUAUACAAGAGUGAAGACUGCACCAUGGGCACGACAAUGAAGCUGCUAUGUUUGUUGGCGGUCGCGGCGCACUGUUCGGCGCUAUUGACGUCGCCACCGCGGAUAGUAAAGCAGCCCACGAUGGAGGAGCAACUGUUCAUGGUGGCGCAGCCCGGGGAGGCUGACAAGCCCUUCAUCAUCGAGUGCGAGGCAGAGGGCGAGCCCGCGCCACAGUACAGAUGGGUGAAGAACGGCAAACCCUUCGAAUAUGCCAGUUACGCCGACCGCAUGUCGCAACAGCCCGGCCGGGGCUCUCUAGUCGUCAGCAAGCCCAAAGACGAGGACAUGGGCCAGUACCAGUGCUUCGCCUACAACGAAUGGGGCACGGCCACAUCCAACUCGGUCUUCGUACGGAAAGCCGAGCUCAACUCGUUCAAAGACACCGGCGACGGUGCACAGAAACUGCUCACCGCUCAAGAAGGUCGCCCGUUCAAACUGACCUGCCACCCGCCCGACGGCUGGCCCAAACCCAACGUCUACUGGAUGUUGCAAGGCGACCAGGGUCAGCUGAAAACCAUCAACAACUCCCGAAUGACUCUCGACCCCGAGGGCAACCUCUGGUUCUCGAAUGUAACGCGCUACGAUGCCAGCGAAGAUACUAACCUAGCUUACACUUGCGCAGCCAAGUCCUUGUUCAGGAACGAGUAUAAGCUCGGCAACAAGGUGUUUUUGAAAGUGAAGCAGACUGGUGGCAUAUCGCCGACGCAGAACAAGUACCCGCCUGAGGAGCAAUACACUACGAGGAGAAACGAAGUAGCGCUGAGAGGGAAAAAGGCGGAAAUCUACUGUAUAUAUGGCGGAACGCCGCUCCCUCAAAUAGUGUGGAAGAAAGACGGACAGAACAUCCUAUCAUCGAGUCGUGUUACGCAAGACAACUACGGCAAGACGCUGGUGAUCAACCCAGUUACCAACGGCGAUAAGGGAACAUACACCUGUGAAGUCAGCAAUGGCGUCGGCUCCGCGCAGUCACACUCCGUCAACCUCAACAUCAAAGCCGGCCCUUACUUCACCGUCGCCCCUGAAUCACUAAACCUGGCCGAAAACGAAACCGCCGUGAUCCGCUGCAGGGCCGACGGUUCCCCCGAUCCGCAAAUCAAGUGGGUCUACAACGGAGAGCCCAUAGAGCGCGCCCCGCCGAACCCGCGCCGCACGGUAGCCGCUGACUCCAUCACCAUCAUCGGACUUACCAAGAAGGAUACUGGCAACUAUGGCUGUAACGCUACCAACUCCAUCGGCUACGUGUACAAGGAUGUCUACAUUAAUGUCCAAUCGAUCCCGCCUGAAAUCAAGGAAGGUCCUGAGAACGUGACGAAAGUCGACGGCUCCGAGGUGGUGAUGCGCUGCCGAGUCUUCGGCGCGCCGCGGCCCAUUGUUAAGUGGAUGCGUAAUGAUGUGGAACUCACCGGUGGCAACUUCAACAUCACAACGAUGGGUGACCUGGUGAUCCGCAGAGUAGGGUACAGCGACGCAGGGGUAUACCGCUGUUAUGCGCAGAAUAGCUUCGGAGAGAAAUCUGCCUACGGCACGCUCGAUGUCAAACAACGAUCCACCAUCAAGAACGAGCCUGAAGACUACGAGGUAGCGGCCGGCUCGCAGGCCACGUUCCGUUGUACGCCCGACACAGACCCCGACCUACACGCCGACAUCACAUGGGAGUUCAAGGGUCAAACCAUCGACUUCGAAGGCCAACCUCGCUUCAAGAUGACCAACGAUUACUCUCUCCUCAUUUCCGACACCAUUGAGUUGGACUCCGGCCCGUACCAGUGCGUCGUCAAGACUCCCAUCGAUGAAGCCCGCGCGGAAGCUACGCUCAUUGUGCAAGAUCGACCCAACGCGCCCCUGCUAGCCGGCAUCGAAUGCCGCGAGAAAGUGGCCAACCUACACUGGGAGCCCAAGGGCGACAACCGCGCACCGAUCCUCCGAUACUCCAUCCAGUACAACACCACAUUCACCCCCGACACCUGGGACUCUGCCAACGACAACGUCCCCGCUAUAGAAACCUCGUGGGCCGUCGAACUUACCCCCUGGGCGAACUAUACGUUCAGAGUGGUUGCUCAUAAUAAGAUCGGGCCGUCAGCGCCCUCUGGGCAUUCGGAGGUGUGCACGACGCAGCCUGAUGUGCCGUACAAAAACCCGGAUAAGGUCGAGGGACGUGGUCGGGCGCCCAACAAUAUGGUCAUAUUUUGGUCGAAAAUGCCUCAAAUCGAGCACAACGGCCCCGGUUUCUACUACCAAGUCUCGUUUAAGCGUAACGAUACCGGCGAGGGCUGGACCGACCAGACCGUGCAAGACUGGCGCCAGAGCGAGCUCCUAGUGCCCAACACACCCACCUUCGUGCCAUACAAAAUAAAGGUUGUCGCGUGGAACUCCAAGGGCGCGUCCAACGUCGCCCCCGUCGAAGUGAUCGGCUGGUCGGGCGAGGACAAGCCCCUACUCGCGCCCACCAACUUCACUUUGGUAGAGGUCAUCUCUGGGAACGAGGCGCUGCUGAGCUGGAACCCUGUACCGCCUGAGUCCGUGCGCGGACACUUCAACGGGUACCGCAUACAGACCUGGACCGAUGGCGAGGAGGAUCAAGUUAGAGAGGUCAAGGCUAAAUCUGACGCCACCAAAGUCAUGAUUAACAUCCUGAAGCCCCACAAGAAGAACAACGUCCGCAUUAUGGUGUACAACGGCUUCGACAACGGCCCGCCAAGCGAUACCCUUAGCUUUGUCACCCCUGAGGGCAAACCUGGGCCAGUGAGGUCUUUCAACGCGUACCCUAUUGGGUCUUCGGCUAUGUUGCUGACUUGGGACAAGCCUAUGGAGGAGAAUGGAAUAUUGACUGGCUACAAGGUGUACUACGCCAAGACUGUUGGAACGCAGGUGGAGCCCUGGGUGGAGCGCAAGAACGUCAUCGACAGCAAGUUCGACCGCGCCAAGCUGGCCGGGCUGCAGCCCGACACCAAGUACCGCAUCGAGCUGCGCGCCAUGACGAAGGCGGGCGAGGGCAAGGGCUACUUCGUGGAGGCGGCGACGCGGCCGGACCGUGUGGCCGUGCCCGACGUGCCGCAGUUCCUCGCGCACGUCGUGCCGCCGCCGCCCGAGCCGCUCGCGCCGCGCGACCGCUCGCCCGCCGUGCACGUGCUCGUGCGCUGGCAGCCCGCGCUCGAGGGCCAUCCCGGCACGCACUUCCAGGCUUCAUACAGAUUGAAAGACCACCCGCAAUGGGAGCAGUGGCCCAUGGAAAUGGACGACGAUUACGUCAUCUUGAAGGGGCUGGAGCCGAACAGGGUAUACGACGUGAAAGUUACCGCUUACGAUGGCGAUUAUUUCACUGACAGCGAGGUCAAACAUGUCGAUACUACUAAUGACGGUCCAAUCAUAAUGCUGGACAACAAGUCAGCGCAGGCGGGCUGGUUCAUCGGCGUGAUGCUGGCGCUGGCGUUCCUGCUGCUGGUGCUGGUGCUGGUGUGCGUGGCGCGCCGCAACCGCGGCGGCAAGUACGACGUGCACGACCGCGAGCUCGCCGCCGGCCGCCGCGACCAUCCCGACACCGGCUUCCACGAGUACACGCACCCACUGGACAACAAAUCGAGGCAUUCGAUGAGCAGCGGCAACAAGCCCGGCCCGGAGAGCGACACCGACUCCAUGGCUGAGUACGGCGAAGGAGAAACUGCGGGCAUGAACGAGGACGGGUCGUUCAUCGGGCAGUACGGCCGCAAGCGCCGCCCGCACCCCUCCAGCCACGACUCCGCCAGCCAGGCCUUCGCUACGCUCGUCUAACCUCCUCCUUACCCUAUACCUCGUUCCACAAUUCCUCCCGAACCGACCUAAACAACCCACCACUGUUUAAUGUCCAAACGGUUCGGGCGACACCAUCACACCUCCCUGCUACGUUCCAGCUAGUUUUAAACGUAGUGCCAUCAUCACAUCUCGAAUUGUAACGGUCCGGUACCGAUCCACCAAUCGGCGUCGCUCGUCGAUCUUCGCUCUGAUUGGUCCGCUCGAGUGAAAAGCCCGCCAAAAUCUCCGAAUCUCCAGUGAUAUUAUCUGUUCGAUAUUAUUUAGGUAUCUUUUUAAAUUUUACUAAAUGUUUAGGUAGUCUCCGGGCGUUCAGGGUCUUUAUUGUACUAUUUUAGAAAUAGUUUGAAUAAAGGCCGCUUCACGGUUCCGCAAGUAUUAAGUUGUAAGCUUUUUGCACAGAAUCUCCUCUACUUGUAGUCUAGGUUAUUUAGUGUCAAGUACACGGUAUUCUUAAGCUAGGUUGUAAAAAUUGAUAUUACGUUUAAUGUGAGUGAGACGGAGUGAAAAUAUUAUGUUAAUUAUAUUUUCGUAUACACGUUUGCUUUGUUUUAUAUUUUUGAUUGCAUUUAUGAGUUAGAUUAGAUAGGUCCUUUUCCGUCCUUAUAUAUUUCCUUCAUUAUUUGCCCGCACGAGCACCAGAGUUCUUUUGUUGUUUACGAGGCCGGUUCACGGAGGACGGGUCGUUCAUCGGGCAGUACGUGCCCGGCGCGCGCGUGCUGCCGCCCGCGCCGCUGUCCCCGCCCGCGCCCGCACCCGCGCCCGCGCCCGCGCCGGCCGCCCGCGGCACUCAGCAGCCGCCCAC